rnacentral:tRNA from 1 species
GCCCAGGUGGCGGAAUUGGUAGACGCACGAGUUUCCGGUACUAGCGGGUAAAACCGUGGAGGUUCGAGUCCUCUCCUGGGCACCA